CCUCUCGUGGUGUAACAGUAACACAUUCGGCAUGUAUUCGAGAGAUCCAGGUUCGAAUCCCGGCGAGGACA
rnacentral:tRNA from 1 species